UACAGAGGGUGCGAGCGUUAAUCGGAAUUACUGGGCGUAAAGCGUGCGCAGGCGGUUCGCCAAGUCAGGUGUGAAAUCCCCGGGCUUAACCUGGGAAUUGCGCUUGAAACUAGCGGGCUUGAGUGCGGCAGAGGGGGGUGGAAUUCCACGUGUAGCAGUGAAAUGCGUAGAGAUGCGGAGGAACACCGAUGGCGAAGGCAGCCCCCUGGGCUGACACUGACGCUCAGGCACGAAAGCGUGGGGAGCAAACAGG
rnacentral:rRNA from 1 species